UCAGUGUGUGUUUUUACUGUGUAUGGUUCACAAAAAAAUGUUUUCCUGACUGUCACAGUUGGUAAGAAACAAAGAUUCCCAUUAAAUUCCAUCAGAAAUGAAUGCGGGUCAGUUUUGACCCACUUAUG